AACGCGAAGAACCUUACCUGGGCUAGAAUGCCUCUGACAGCCCCAGAGAUGGGGUCUCCUGGGUAAAACCAGGCAGAGUGCAAGGUGCUGCAUGGCUGUCGUCAGCUCGUGUGGUGACAUGUUGGGUUAAGUCCCGCAACGAGCGCAACCCUUGUCUUUAGUUGCCAGCAUUCAGUUGGGCACUCUAAAGAGACUGCCGUGGUUAACACGGAGGAAGGUGGGGAUGACGUCAAGUCCUCAUGGCCUUUAUAUCCAGGGCGACACACGUGAUACAAUGGUCGGUACAGAGGGAUGCGAAGUAGCGAUACGGAGCAAAUCUCAAAAAGCCGAUCUCAGUUCGGAUUGGAGUCUGCAACUCGACUCCAUGAAGUUGGAAUCGCUAGUAAUCGCGGAUCAGCACGCCGCGGUGAAUACGUUCCCGGGCCUUGUACACACCGCGCAUA
rnacentral:rRNA from 1 species